UAAUACGGAGGAUGCGAGCGUUAUCCGGAUUUAUUGGGUUUAAAGGGUGCGUAGGCGGAAUGGUAAGUCAGUGGUGAAAUCCUGCAGCUCAACUGUAGAGUUGCCAUUGAUACUGUCAUUCUUGAGUAUAGAUGAGGUAGGCGGAAUGAGUAGUGUAGCGGUGAAAUGCAUAGAUAUUACUCAGAACACCAAUUGCGCAGGCAGCUUACUAAACUAUAACUGACGCUGAAGCACGAAAGCGUGGGUAUCAAACAGGAUUAGAUACCCUGGUAGUCCACGCCGUAAACGAUGAUUACUGGUUGUUUGCAAUACACCGCAAGCGACUGAGCGAAAGCAUUAAGUAAUCCACCUGGGGAGUACGUCGGCAACGAUG
rnacentral:rRNA from 1 species